AUGACCAAGCUGGAGACUGAAGCAGGUCAGAGGGAUCUCGAAGGGAGCCCCGGACAGUGGACGCUGAAGCUGCCGGCAGACCUCGCGGCUGUGUGGGCAGAGCUGGGGAGCCAGCCCCGGCCCUGGGACAGCUGCCUGUCUGCGUUUCCACGGCAACGCACGGAGGGAUGCCAAGCCUCCUGCCUUUAUAGACAAAUGCUUAUGUCCUCUAUCUUUUUCCCAAAUCACCCCCGAAAACAGUUGACGAUUCCUGACCUCUGCCCCUUCCCCACCUCUCUGGAAGAGAGGGCCCAGGACACCUGCGGAGUUGAUUGCUGCCCAGGUGCACAGGUAGCGCUCCCAGAGGGAGACGCAUUUUGGAGACUGAGGACUGUGCCCUUGGCGGAGAGAGGGCCGGCUCUCCCCUCGCCUUUGUCCAGCGAACUGCCCUGCCUAAGGACAGAGCGUGGCCUUGAUGGGACACUUUGCUGUCUGAGCCUCGGUGUCUGUAACAGUGAAACUCUAAAAGCUUUUGAAAUGCAAACAGACUGGCCCUGGCCCUCUUGGAGCACCACCCAAGGAUUUCAUGGCUCCAGGCAGGAGGGAUACACUAGUCCCAAUGUUGGCUGAGCCUUUUCUCCAAGUUUCUAUUCCUAGAAGGUUAUAACUAUGAGUCAGAAAAUUACCAUAAAUUACCCUGGGGCUGGGGCUGGGGGUAGGCUGAAGGCCAGGGGGGGUUGGGAAAUCACCUCCCCAAGGGGACCACUCCCACCACUGGCAGAGCCCAGAGCCAACAUUGGAACCUGAACCUGAGAGUCCAGACUUUGGGGGUGGGGUGCUGCUGGUCAUGAUCAAGCUUCUGGCACUUGAAAACGGCAGCGGUCUGGGGUCAGGACACAGACAACAACACAGAGACACAGUCCCUUCCUCCACAUCCUAAUUUUGUGAGUUCUCUUAGGAAAAUAUGUCAUACAAAUGAAGUUAAAACCCAACAAUAAUCCCAGUUUUUGAAAUGGUAUAAAACUGGGGCGCCUGAGUGGCUGAGUUUGGUUAAGCGUCUGAUUUAGGCUCAGAUUAUGAUCUCAAGGUUCGUGGGCUCAAGCCCCGCAUCGGGCUCUCUGCUGUCAGCGCAGAGCCUGCUUGGAUCCUCUGUCCCUCUCUUUCUCUGUCCCUCCCCCGCUCGUGCUCUCCCUCAGAAAUAAGACAAGCAUUUUUUUAAAACGGGGGGCGCCUGGGUGGCGCAGUCGGUUAAGCGUCCGACUUCAGCCAGGUCACGAUCUCGCGGUCUGUGAGUUCGAGCCCCGCGUCGGGCUCUGGGCUGAUGGCUCAGAGCCUGGAGCCUGUUUCUGAUUCUGUGUCUCCCUCUCUCUCUGCCCCUCCCCCGUUCAUGCUCUGUCUCUCUCUGUCCCAAAUAUAAAUAAACGUUGAAAAAAAAAAAAAUUUUAAAAUGGU
rnacentral:lncRNA from 1 species